rnacentral:tRNA from 1 species
GCCCGUGUAGCUCAGAUGGUAGAGCAGCUGCCUUGUAAGCGGAUGGUCCGGGGUUCGAUCCCUCGCUAGGGCACCA